CGUCUGUUAAUAUGCAGUAUCUGAUCGCAUCCUUCGUGAAAUGCUUCGAAACUGCUGUUUAACCAAGACUGGGACAGCAGGUAAUUUAUCGAAAGUCUUUUGGAUCAUGUCUCAUCUCAAGAGUAAUCUAUCUAAUAGAAGAGGAGUCGAAAGCGGACGUUUGUAAUAUCUGAAGUCGACUAAUGGGACGCAGUCAGGAACAUCUGUGGGCGGUCUCACACAAAACGAAAAACAAGGGGGCAAACUAGGUUUAGCAAACAACUUAACCGGCUGCCACGAAGAGCAUCAGUAUGCAACAGUCUUCGAGUGAGGACAAGAUUCCGG